rnacentral:rRNA from 1 species
UACGUAGGGUGCGAGCGUUAAUCGGAAUUACUGGGCGUAAAGCGUGCGCAGGCGGUCUGUUAAGACCGAUGUGAAAUCCCCGGGCUCAACCUGGGAACUGCAUUUGUGACUGCAUCGCUGGAGUACGGCAGAGGGGGAUGGAAUUCCGCGUGUAGCAGUGAAAUGCGUAGAUAUGCGGAGGAACACCGAUGGCGAAGGCAAUCCCCUGGGCCUGUACUGACGCUCAUGCACGAAAGCGUGGGGAGCAAACAGG